CCUACGGGUGACAGCAGUGAGGAAUAUUGGUCAAUGGACGGAAGUCUGAACCAGCCAUGCCGCGUGCAGGAAGACGGCUCUAUGAGUUGUAAACGGCUUUUGUACAAGGGUAAACCUGAAUACGUGUAUUCAGCUGAAAGUACUGGAUGAAUAAGGAUCGGCUAACUCCGUGCCAGCAGCCGCGGGAAUACGGAGGAGCCAAGCGUGAUCCGGAUUUAUUGGGUUGAAAGGGUGCGUAGGCGGAUUGAUAAGUUAGAGGUGAAAUGUCCGAGCUUACCUCGGGAACUGCCUCUAAUACUGUUGAUCGAGAGAGUAGAUGCGGUAGGCGGAAUGUAUGGUGUAGCGGUGAAAUGCUUAGAGAUCAUACAGAACACCGAUUGCGAAGGCAGCUUACCAAUCUAUAUCUGACGUUGAGGCACGAAAGCGUGGGGAGCAAACAGGAUUAGAUACCCCUGUAGUC
rnacentral:rRNA from 1 species